CGAACGCUGGCGGCGUGCUUAACACAUGCAAGUCGAACGAUGAACCGGGGCUUGCCCUGGGGAUUAGUGGCGAACGGGUGAGUAACACGUGGGCAACCUGCCCCUGACUCUGGGAUAACUCCGGGAAACCGGGGCUAAUACCGGAUACGAACCUCGACGGCAUCGUCGAGGUUGGAAAGUUUUUCGGUCAGGGAUGGGCCCGCGGCCUAUCAGCUAGUUGGUGGGGUAGUGGCCCACCAAGGCGACGACGGGUAGCCGGCCUGAGAGGGCGACCGGCCACACUGGGACUGAGACACGGCCCAGACUCCUACGGGAGGCAGCAGUGGGGAAUAUUGCGCAAUGGGCGAAAGCCUGACGCAGCGACGCCGCGUGAGGGACGACGGCCUCGGUUGUAACCGUCUUUCAGCAGGACGAAGCGAAAGUGACGGUACCUGCAGAAGAAGCACCGGCCAACUACGUGCCAGCAGCCGCGGUAAUCU
rnacentral:rRNA from 1 species